rfam:Halomonadaceae bacterium T82-2 scaffold_19, whole genome shotgun sequence.
CGGCAGGAUGUGCAUUGUACAGGUACGCCGCAAGCGGCGACCGCACAGUGCAAAGGGCUUACUUGCCCUGUGGGCUCGAUGCUGUCCUGCCCUGCGAGGCU